GAGAGAUUACAAUAUGAAAAAUGAGAGCACAUGUAACUAACCAACUAAUCUAUUACGAUUUUCUUUCCAUAUGUAAUACAUAUUUUUACGUAAACUAUACUUAUUUUGAUUCGUUUUGUACUUUAUUAGCGUCCUUUUAAAAAAUCUUCAAAUUAGUAAUACUUAAUAAUUUUUAUCCAUAAGCAUACCGGCAAAACGUAUCUCUCUCAGUUUAGCAUCUUCAUCUUCUUCCUCUGUAUCAUCUGUUGGGUUUCGAAUCGUAGAUGUAGUUGGCUGAUUCUGAAAUUACAGCUGGAAUUCAAGGGUAAAAAUCGAUCGGAGCAUAAAGUAUUGUGAUCGGUUUAGGGGAAGAUGAUAACAAGGUCAAAACUGGUAGAGCAGCUAAGAGAUUAUCAGAUCCGAUCUCAACACAAGUGCCCUCCUCUUACUUUCUUUUCCCCAAAUCUUCAUCUAUCCAAUUGGGCUGAUGUUGCAGUUGCUGUGUUCUACGCCUUGCUAUUUUGUGUGCUUAUAGUAUCAUCAUAUGUGGCCAUUUAUUUACGACAUUACUGGAGUUCCUUUCUCAUUAUAUGCCUUGCUGUUAUCCUUCCGGUGCGUUUGAGAAUGUUACGACAAGCUCAUGCAAGAAAGAAAGUAAGACAGUUACCUUUGUCUAUGUGAACUUCCUUCUACUUCUGCAAGCACCAAACAGCAGUUUAAGUGAACGGAAGACCUCUUGCACAAAAGUGCUCUCUGAUUAUAGAAAUACAAUUCUUUGAUCUUCGUCACAUAGGCUGACCAAUCUUCUGCCGUGAAAGAUGAAUACGCCCUUCGUAUUACUCUUGAUGACCCAUUCAUUGAGAAGCAUGAUUAGACGAUCAAUUACUAUCCUGUGACAUGAACACCCAGAGUCUAGUGCUCAAGGUUUCAGUAUUUUUAAUGAUUCUUAUUUUGUUGUAAACUAAGCUUUGUGGGUGAAAAAAUUCAGCUCUGGAUAAUACCCAAGCAGGUGCGCUGAUUUUAAACUUUGAAGUGUAUGUAUAGGACUAACACAUACUAUCUGAAUGAUCAGAUAAUAGUCGCUGAAAGGUUGAAAUGCCUUUGGUUCAGGAAUAAUAUACUGAACCGUGUAGGAAAGUUGAGUUCUGUCAGAGAGAGUAUUUGUGUUGUUCAUUAGUUAGUUAGUUAUGUUUCAAAUAGAAGUAUUCAAAAUGUAGACGUUUUCGAAGGAAUUUGAUUGCUAAACUUCUUUUCGGAGUUA